rnacentral:rRNA from 1 species
AACGAACGCUGGCGGCAUGCCUAACACAUGCAAGUCGAACGAGACCUUCGGGUCUAGUGGCGCACGGGUGCGUAACACGUGGGAAUUUGCCUCGGGGUAUGGAAUAACUCAGGGAAACUUGAGCUAAUACCAUAUAAUGUCUUCGGACCAAAGAUUUAUCGCCCUGAGAUAAGCCCGCGUAGGAUUAGCUAGUUGGUGGGGUAAAGGCUCACCAAGGCGACGAUCCUUAGCUGGUCUGAGAGGAUGAUCAGCCACACUGGGACUGAGACACGGCCCAGACUCCUACGGGAGGCAGCAGUGGGGAAUUUUGGACAAUGGGCGCAAGCCUGAUCCAGCAAUGCCGCGUGCAGGAUGAAGGCC